GUCUACAGCCAUGCCACCCUGAACAAGCCCAAUUCCAUCUGAUCUCAGAAGUUAAGCAGGGUCGGGCCUGGUUAAUACUUGGAUGGGAGACCACUUAGGAAGACCAGGUGCUAUAAGUG
rnacentral:rRNA from 1 species